GUUGGUACAGAGGCGUUUCAACAAAGAAGCCAAAUGUAAAGGGGAUCUUUCCUGCGAAUUAUAUUCACUUGAAAAAGGCAAUUGUCAGUAAUAGGGGGAGUAUGAAA